CCCAGAUUGCAACAUCCUUCCUCUGUCCAACAUCGGAUAUGAGAAGGGAAGGAGUUGCAGACAGAAACCGCAAAACACGAUCUGAUGGAGACAAUCGAUUCAUUGGCAUAGGAAUAUCAUCAGCCUUUGAAUCUCACACUGUUUUAUUUCUGUUCUGUUCUGUCUGCUUUGCAAGGUUUCAAACAUCAGAGAGACUGAGGCAUACAGACCUGAGUGAGAGUGUCCCAAUGAACUGACUGGGAAGAGCUUUAACAGGUUACGCAGCCUGAAAUGGCAAUACCCCAUGUGCAGCAGCAAGGGACAUUCCAUGUGUGAGUGGUCUUCCAACUGAUUGCCGAAGCUGGAGAGAGACAAGGAUUCCCACGUCAUGGAGAAACCGUGGAAAUGUGGGGACUGUGGGAAGGAAUUCAAAUUCCCGUGUCUGCUCGAAUCCCAUCGCCGUGGUCACACCGGGGAGAGGCCGUUCACCUGCUCUGUGUGCGGGAAGGCGUUCAUUCAGCUGUCCACCCUGGUGACCCACCAGCGGGUUCACACCGGGGAGAAGCCGUUCACCUGCUCAGAGUGUGGGAAGGGCUUCACCCGGCUGUCUACUUUGCAGGCCCAUCAGCACAUUCACACCGGAGAGAGGCCUUUCACCUGCUCCGUCUGCGGGAAGGGGUUCAUUGAUUCGUGUGGCCUGCAGAGACACAAGCGGGUUCACACUGGGGAGAGGCCAUUCAUAUGCUCGGUUUGUGGGAAGGGCUUCACCCAUUCGACCGCCCUGCUGACCCACCAGCACAUUCACACCGGGGAGAGGCCGUUCUCGUGCUCCAUCUGUGGGAAGGGCUUCACGGAUUCCUCCGCCCUGCAGAUACACCAGUGGGUUCACACUGGGCAGCGGCCGUUUACCUGCUCCGUGUGUGGGAAGGCCUUCAGUCGAUCAUCCCAUCUGCUGAGACACCUCUCCAGUCACACCGAGUAGAGAAUUUUUAAAUCCUUUGUCUGUGUGGGUGUGACUUCAAGAGAGUACCCAUUCACUGAAAGAAAUCUGAAAGCAAAUAAUACAUGAACUUCUAACAGAGCCACUUGAUUCAUUGGGACUUCAAUAUCAGCAGCCAUUCCAAUUGAGCAGAAAUGUUUGUUUUUGUCUGCUUGACAGAUUGUGGCAGGAAGAACAUUGAGGCACAGAUACCCAAGUGAGGUAGAUUCAGGGCACUGACUGUGAAAGGCACUUUAAUGAUUUAUUCAGCUUGGGGCAUCAAAAUCACACCACCAGAGACUGUUGACCUGCUCUGUGUGCGGGAAGGAUUCGUUAAUUCUUCCAUCCUACUGAUGCGCUAGCAGGUCCUCAUCGGGGAGAGGCCAUUCACCUGCCCGGAGUGCAGGAAUGCAUUUAGUCAAAUGUGCAACCUGUGGACACACCAGCGGAUCCACACUGGGGAGAGGCCGUUCACCUGCUGUUCGUGCUUCACCAGCUCCUCCCACCUGCAGAGGCACCAGUGAGUUCAUGUGCCAUUGCAGGGGGAUUGAAGGAGUGACGGCCGAGUGCCAUUACCAACUGGACGAUCAACCCGGUUCUGGGGACUCAAUGGUUCGAAUCCAACUGUGGCAGAUUGUGGAAUUGGAAUUCAGUCAGAAAUCUGGAGUUCAGCCUCUAAUGACAAAACUAUUUUUGGGGGGGAACAAAAACCAUCUGAUUCACUCCUGCCCUUUUUAGGGAAUGAAGCUGCUGUUGUGGGAGAGGAUUUACUCAGUCAUCCCAGCUGCAUCCUUUACCCGGUCUGGCCUAUAUGUGACUCCAGACCCGAAGCAGUGUGGUUGACUCUUGACUGCUUCCCCUGGCAAAUGAUUGGGGAGACAUUUACUUGGAUACAGUGUAUAGGUUGAAAUUGCUGAGUCAGGCAAUAUUUGCUACAGGUGAUGGCUGUACCAAGGAUCCAAUUACAAAGGGACAACUCAGUGCUGACCAAUAGUAAAGGAAGUGGGGUGACAAUCGACAAUAGGUGCGGGAGUAGGCCAUUCUGCCCUUCGAGCCUGCACCGCCAUUCAAUAUGAUCAUGGCUGAUCAUUC